rnacentral:ncRNA from 1 species
ACGCGGGAUCGCGUCCGCGGGCUCAACAGGCCCAGAUGGUGGGGGUGGUGCCGUGUCGGCGCAGCACCACCCCUGCCUG